AAAAUGUGUUUGUGUUUCUCUCUAUAAAGGUUAUGCAGUUGAGAGCGUGACAGAAACAGAGACCCCGACACCACUGGAAAGCUCCAUACCUCCGUUUUAUAACACUGAACCCACAAACGUGGGUGAGGAUAACCUGAAUACGACAGGGGUGACAAUGAGACCAGAUGCAGAGCAGUUUAACCUCACCAUAACUCCAGCAAUCACUGACAACUCUACAGACUCCCCUGUGACCUCCUCUGCGACCUCCAAAAAGAUGUCCGCCGCACACCCGACCCUUAACACCAACACCUCCAGAAUCGCCAGAGUUGUAGCGUGGGAUGAGAGUUGGGACGAGCCGUUUCAUUACA